rnacentral:rRNA from 1 species
AUUGAACGCUGGCGGCAGGCCUAACACAUGCAAGUCGAACGGUAACAGGAAGAAGCUUGCUUCUUUGCUGACGAGUGGCGGACGGGUGAGUAAUGUCUGGGAAACUGCCUGAUGGAGGGGGAUAACUACCGGAAACGGUAGCUAAUACCGCGUAACGUCGCAAGACCAAAAAGGGGGACCUUCGGGCCUCUUGCCAUCGGAUGUGCCCAGAUGGGAUUAGCUAGUAGGUGGGGUAACGGCUCACCUAGGCGACGAUCCCUAGCUGGUCUGAGAGGAUGACCAGCCACACUGGAACUGAGACACGGUCCAGACUCCUACGGGAGGCAGCAGUGGGGAAUAUUGCACAAUGGGCGCAAGCCUGAUGCAGCCAUGCCGCGUGUAUGAAGAAGGCCUUCGGGUUGUAAAGUACUUUCAGCGGGGAGGAAGGGAGUAAAGUUAAUACCUUUGCUCAUUGACGUUACCCGCAGAAGAAGCACCGGCUAACUCCGUG